rnacentral:rRNA from 1 species
GACGAACCGUGCGAACGUUAUUCGGAAUCACUGGGCUUAAAGCGCGUGUAGGCGGGCCGGCACGUCGGUCGUUGAAAUCCCCCGGCUCAACCGGGGAACGGGCGCCGAUACGACCGUCCUGGAGGGACGUAGGGGGACCUGGAACUUCCGGUGGAGCGGUGAAAUGCGUUGAGAUCGGAAGGAACGCCCGUGGCGAAAGCGAGGUCCUGGACGUUUUCUGACGCUGAGACGCGAAAGCCAGGGGAGCGAACGGG